UACGUAGGGUGCAAGCGUUGUCCGGAAUUAUUGGGCGUAAAGAGCGUGUAGGCUGUUCGGUAAGUCUGCCGUGAAAACCUGAGCUCAACCUCGGGCGUGCGGUGGAUACUGCCGGGCUAGAGGACGGUAGAGGCGAGUGGAAUUCUCGGUGUAGCGGUGAAAUGCGUAGAUAUCGAGAGGAACACCUGCGGCGAAGGCGGGUGCUGGGCACACUGACGCUGAGUGCGAGACUAGGGGAGCGAACAGGGAUUAGAACCGUACCGUCAGACCAA
rnacentral:rRNA from 1 species